rnacentral:rRNA from 1 species
GCGGCCGGCUUAACACAUGCAAGUCGAGCGGGGUGAUAGUGCUUGCACUAUCACCUAGCGGCGGACGGGUGAGUAAUGCUUAGGAAUCUGCCUAUUAGUGGGGGACAACAUUUCGAAAGGAAUGCUAAUACCGCAUACGUCCUACGGGAGAAAGCAGGGGAUCUUCGGACCUUGCGCUAAUAGAUGAGCUUAAGUCGGAUUAGCUAGUUGGUGGGGUAAAGGCCUACCAAGGCGACGAUCUGUAGCGGGUCUGAGAGGAUGAUCCGCCACACUGGGACUGAGACACGGCCCAGACUCCUACGGGAGGCAGCAGUGGGGAAUAUUGGACAAUGGGCGCAAGCCUGAUCCAGCCAUGCCGCGUGUGUGAAGAAGGCCUUAUGGUUGUAAAGCACUUUAAGCGAGGAGGAGGCUACUUUAGAUAAUACCUAGAGAUAGUGGACGUUACUCGCAGAAUAAGCACCGGCUAACUCUGUGCCAGCAGCCGCGGUAAUACAGAGGGUGCAAGCGUUAAUCGGAUUUACUGGGCGUAAAGCGCGCGUAGGCGGCUAAUUAAGUCAAAUGUGAAAUCCCCGAGCUUAACUUGGGAAUUGCAUUCGAUACUGGUUAGCUAGAGUGUGGGAGAGGAUGGUAGAAUUCCAGGUGUAGCGGUGAAAUGCGUAGAGAUCUGGAGGAAUACCGAUGGCGAAGGCAGCCAUCUGGCCUAACACUGACGCUGAGGUGCGAAAGCAUGGGGAGCAAACAGGAUUAGAUACCCUGGUAGUCCAUGCCGUAAACGAUGUCUACUAGCCGUUGGGGCCUUUG